rnacentral:rRNA from 1 species
UACGUAGGGGACGAGCGUUGUCCGGAGUUACUGGGCGUAAAGCGCACGCAGGCGGUCCGACACGUGGGGGGUAACAGCUCCUGGCUUAACUGGGAGAGCGUCGUCCAAACGGUCGGACUUGAGAGCGAGAGAGGGACAUGGAACUCCCGGUGGAGCGGUGAAAUGCGUAGAGAUCGGGAAGAACACCAAAGGCGCAGGCAGUGUCCUGGCUCGCCUCUGACGCUCGGGUGCGAAAGCUAGGGGAG